UCAAAGAUUAAGCCAUGCAUGUCUCAGUACAAACUUUUUCUAAAGUGAAACCGCGAACGGCUCAUUAUAUCAGCUGUGAUUUAAUGGACCUACACCCAGUUUUCCUUGGAUAACUGUGGUAAUUCUAGAGCUAAUACAUGCACAUAUAGUCCCAGACCUGACGGGAAGGGCGCUUUUAUUAGUAUCACAAAAAACCGGUGAAACAUGACUUUGGUCUGUAAAAAAAAUGAAUUGUGAUGACUCUGGAUAACUUUUUAGCUGAGCGCACGGUCUUUGCACUGGCGCCGCUUCUUUCAAGUGUCUGCCUUAUCAGCUUUCGAUUGUACGUUAUAUGCAUACAAUGGCGAUAACGGGUAACGGGGAAUCAGGGUUCGAUUCCGGAGAGGGAGCCUGAGAAACGGCUACCACAUCCAAGGAAGGCAGCAGGCACGCAAAUUACCCACUCCCAGCCCGGGGAGGUAGUGACGAAAAAUAACGAUGCAAGACUCAUCCGAGGCCUUGCAAUCGGAAUGAGUACACUUUAAAUCCUUUAACCAGGAUCCAUUGGAGGGCAAGUCUGGUGCCAGCAGCCGCGGUAAUUCCAGCUCCAAUA
rnacentral:rRNA from 1 species